GUACCCGGCUGUCCCCCCCGUGGGGAGGGGCCCGACGACUCCUCUCCCGCCGCCGCGGCCCCUCCAGUGGCGGCCUCUUGGUCUUCGGUCCCCUGGGGGCUCCCUUGCCAACUUGGAGGGUCGCUCCGAGGACUUCUUCGCUCUCUGUGCGUGCGUGGAGAGUGGACGGAGUGUCAAUAACAGACGCAACCGAGAUUUUGGCUGAGGACCCAACCCGCGCUUCUCUGCUUCUCGGCAGAGGGCUAGCACUUAUAUUUCUUGUUGUCUUACUGCUGGUGAUAAGCCAAUCAGAGGGAUCCCACUUAAAGGAGUUGGACACUUAGACCGGCCUCUGUUAGUGUCUGUGUGUCUUAGCGCCUCAGGUGUUAGAAGAGCUUCUUACCCCUGGAAGUGGAGUUGGAGCUGUGCUGAAGCCCCAUGUGGAAGCUGAGGGUCAAGUCUGUGUCCUCGAAGAGCAGCUCCUGCUGUAGCUGCCAAGCCCUCUGUAGGCCACACUCUCUACCUUUUUUAUUUACUUUUUCUACCUUAUCUUUUUGAGGCAGGGUCUCUCACUGAACCUUUAACUUAUGGCUUGGCUAGACUGGCUGGCCAGUGAGCCCUAGCAAGCCUUCUAUCUUUGUAGAAGCUCCUGGGAUUACGGGCCUGUGUCUGUUUAUGUGGGUCCUAGGGGUUGAACUUCUCAGUUCUGGGAUUAUGGGCCUGUGUCUGUUUAUGGGUGCUGGGAACUGAAACCUAGGCUUUCUUAGCCAUUGAGUCCUCUCUCUAGCCCAAUUAAGUGUGCAUUUCAGGAGAGCCAGUGCGCACCACAUUUGCCUGGCAUAUUUCUUCAUAUGGGCAGAGAGGUACGGAAAGGGCUGUUGAGUAAUCCCCCUGGCCUGACGGCAUGGUUUAUAGACCUGUGGGACUGCACUAGCGUUUUCCUCUAAGAAACUUCCUUAGUUGGACUCGUGGUAUCGUCUCUGGUUUCUGGUGGUGAAGAACCCUCUUUGCCUGCGAGGUGCUGUAAGGUGCUGAAGUUCAUCUCCCUGGCCUGGUAAUCUCGCCAGUAGGCACCAGCCCUGAGAGCUGGCCAGUUACCUAACUUUCCAUCCUCUGCCUGCCUUGGUAAAGUAGAAAAAAGGCCAGCGGCUAUCUCAGGGUUGCUCUGAGGAUGAAGGGGUCAUUUAUGUCCCUGACACAAGUGUUGCACAUUGCUAUCCCCUCGAUCCUUCUGGACCUGCACUCGUAGAUGGUGGAGUGCUUUCUGUAAGCCUCAUCACAGCCUUCGCUGUGUGGUUUUGUGUGUUGACCCCUGCUUUAGUGAAGCUGUUUUUUCUUCGUUUUGAAGUAAUUUCUCUUGAAAAUUGAAAAGAUGCCAUGAUUGCUCAUGAUAAGUGCCAGUGUUGGUGCCAGCAGAUUCUACUUGCUCUUUCAUGAUGGCAAAGUCUAGUUUUUUGUAGUCUGUAUGUAAAAGUAUAUUACAUAUACUUUUAUUAUAUAU